rnacentral:rRNA from 1 species
AGUGAACGCUGGCGGUAGGCCUAACACAUGCAAGUCGAACGGCAGCACAGGAGAGCUUGCUCUCUGGGUGGCGAGUGGCGGACGGGUGAGGAAUACAUCGGAAUCUACCUUUUCGUGGGGGAUAACGUAGGGAAACUUACGCUAAUACCGCCUACGACCUACGGGUGAAAGUGGGGGACCGCAAGGCCUCACGCGAUUAGAUGAGCCGAUGUCCGUUUAGUUAGUUGGCGGGGUAAUGGCCCACCAAGGCGACGAUCGGUAGCUGGUCUGAGAGGAUGAUCAGCCACACUGGAACUGAGACACGGUCCAGACUCCUACGGGAGGCAGCAGUGGGGAAUAUUGGACAAUGGGCGCAAGCCUGAUCCAGCCAUACCGCGAGGGUGAAGAAGGCCUUCGGGUUGUAAAGCCCUUUUGUUGGGAAAGAAAUCCUGUCGAUUAAUACUCGGUGGGGAUGACGGUACCCAAAGAAUAAGCACCGGCUAACUUCGUGCCAGCCGCCGCGGUAAGAC